rnacentral:tRNA from 1 species
GGCCGCGAUAACCGAAUGGUUAGCAUUGCGUACUGCCAUUCGGAAGGCCCGGGUUCAAAUCACGGUGCGACCA